rnacentral:rRNA from 1 species
AAUGAUUAUUUUAAUAGCCGCAGUAUUUUGACUGUGCAAAGGUAGCAUAAUAAAUUGUCUUUUAAUUGGAGGCUGGAAUGAAUGAUAGGAUGUGAUGGUAGCUGUCUUUAUAAUAAUUGAUUGAAAUUUACUUUUUGAUGAGAAGGUUAAGAUUUGAUUGGUAGACGAGAAGACCCUAUCAAGCUUUAUUAUGAUUAUUAGUUUUACUUUUUUGAUUUGUGGGUGGAUUGUAAAUUAUAGUUUUAUUGGGGCAAUGUUUGAAUAUAUCGUAAUUUUUUAUUUUUAAUUAGAGGUUGAUCCGUUAUUAACGAUUUAAGGAAUAAGUUACUGUAGGGAUAACAGCGUAAUUGAUUUGGAGAGUUCAUAUUGGUAAAUUGGAUUGCGACCUCGAUGUUGGUUUAAUGGAUCCUCAGGGUGCAGCAGCUUUGGAGGAG